CCCUUAGAUGUUCUGGGCCGCACGCGUGCUACACUGAGUGGAUCAGCGGGUCAGGUUACGCGAGAGCGUUUCCUAAUCUUCAAAUCCGCUCGUGAUGGGGAUUGACGGUUGCAAUUUUCCGUCAUGAACGAGGAAUACCUUGUAAGCGCGGGUCAUCAUCCCGCGCUGAAUACGUCCCUGCCCUUUGUACACACCGCCUGUCGCUCCUACCGAUUGAGUGGUCCGGUGAGGCUUUGGGAUCUAAGCGAAAAGAGCGUUUCGCUCCUUUUGCUGGGAGAACUCAGUCGAACCUUAUCAUUUAGAGGAAGGAGAAGUCGUAACA
rnacentral:rRNA from 1 species